rnacentral:rRNA from 1 species
UACAGAGGUCCCAAGCGUUGUUCGGAUUCACUGGGCGUAAAGGGUGUGUAGGUGGCGCGCUAAGUCGGGUGUGAAUUUCGGAGCUUAACUCCGAAACUGCAUUCGAUACUGGCGUGCUUGAGGACUGGAGAGGAGACUGGAGUUCAUGGUGUAGCAGUGAAAUGCGUAGAUAUCAUGAGGAAUACCAGAGGCGAAGGCGGCUCCCUGGACAAUUGCUGACACUCAGGCACGAAAGCGUGGGGAGCAAAAGG